CUUGCCACCCUGAACUUUCUGCUUUUGAAAGCUAAGCAGGGUCAGCCCUGGUUAGUAUUUGGAUGGGAGACUUCCAGGGCAUACCAGGAGUCUCCAAGU
rnacentral:rRNA from 1 species